ACGAACGCUGGCGGCGUGCUUAACACAUGCAAGUCGAACGGAAAGGCCCUGCUUUUGUGGGGUGCUCGAGUGGCGAACGGGUGAGUAACACGUGAGUAACCUGCCCUUGACUUUGGGAUAACUUCGGGAAACUGGGGCUAAUACCGGAUAGGAGCUCCUGCUGCAUGGUGGGGGUUGGAAAGUUUCGGCGGUUGGGGAUGGACUCGCGGCUUAUCAGCUUGUUGGUGGGGUAGUGGCUUACCAAGGCUUUGACGGGUAGCCGGCCUGAGAGGGUGACCGGCGAUAGGGGGAGGGAGAAAGGCCCAGGACCCGACGGGGGGGAGGAGGGGGGAAAUUUGCACAAGGGGGGGGGGGCGUAAGCCACAACCCCCGGGGGGGGGUGGAGGGCUUUGGGGUUGAACCCCGCUUCCGCGGGGAACGAGGGGGGGGGGGCGGAAAUGGAAAAAGAAACCCCGGCUACCUCCGGG
rnacentral:rRNA from 1 species